rnacentral:rRNA from 1 species
GCAAGGCUAAAACUCAAAUGAAUUGACGGGGGCCCGCACAAGCGGUGGAGCAUGUGGUUUAAUUCGAUGCAACGCGAAGAACCUUACCUACCCUUGACAUCCAGAGAAUCUGUUAGAGAUAAUUGAGUGCCUUCGGGAACUCUGAGACAGGUGCUGCAUGGCUGUCGUCAGCUCGUGUUGUGAAAUGUUGGGUUAAGUCCCGUAACGAGCGCAACCCUUAUCCUUAGUUGCCAGCACGUAAUGGUGGGAACUCUAGGGAGACUGCCGGUGAUAAACCGGAGGAAGGUGGGGACGACGUCAAGUCAUCAUGGCCCUUAUGGGUAGGGCUACACACGUGCUACAAUGGCCAGUACAGAGGGCUGCAAACUUGCGAGAGUAAGCAAAUCCCAGAAAGCUGGUCUUAGUCCGGGUUGGAGUCUGCAACUCGACUCCAUGAAGUUGGAAUCGCUAGUAAUCGCGAAUCAGAACGUCGCGGUGAAUACGUUCCCGGGCCUUGUACACACCGCCCGUCACACCAUGGGAGUGGGUUGCAAAAGAAGUGGGUAGACUAACCUUCGGGAGGUCGCUCACCACUUUGUGGUUCAUGACUGGGGUGAAGUCGUAACAAGGUA